ACUCAAAGGAAUUGACGGGGGCCCGCACAAGCGGAGGAGCAUGUGGUUUAAUUCGAUGAUACGCGAGGAACCUUACCCGGGCUUGAAUUGCAGUGGAAUAUUGUGGAAACCCAAUAGCCUUCGGGCCACUGUGAAGGUGCUGCAUGGUUGUCGUCAGCUCGUGCCGUGAGGUGUUAGGUUAAGUCCUGCAACGAGCGCAACCCUUACACUUAGUUGCCAGCAUGUUAUGAUGGGGACUCUAAGUGAACUGCCUACGCAAGUAGAGAGGAAGGUGGGGAUGACGUCAAAUCAGCACGGCCCUUAUGUCCGGGGCUACACACGUGCUACAAUGGUCGGUACAGAGGGCCGCUACCCCGCGAGGGGAUGCCAAUCUCCAAAGCCGAUCUCAGUUCGGAUCGGAGUCUGUAACUCGACUCCGUGAAGUUGGAUUCGCUAGUAAUCGCACAUCAGCCAUGGUGCGGUGAAUACGUUCCCGGGCCUUGCACACACCGCCCGU
rnacentral:rRNA from 1 species